CUGUAGCAGGAUGGUUACUAGGAAAGGCUCCACUAAGUGUUAUCUCUGUAGCAGGAUGGUUACUAGGAAAGGCUCUGCUAAGUGUUAUCUCUGUAGCAGGAUGGUUACUAGGAAAGGCUCUGCUAAGUGUUAUCUCUGUAGCAGGAUGGUUACUAGGAAAGGCUCCACUAAGUGUUAUCUCUGUAGAAGGAUGGUUACUAGGAAAGGCUCUGCUAAGUGUUAUCUCUGUAGCAGGAUGGUACAAGGAAAGGCUCCGCUAAGUGUUAUCUCUGUAGCAGGAUGGUUACUAGGAAAGGCUCCACUAAGUGUUAUCUCUGUAGAAGGAUGGUUACUAGGAAAGGCUCCGCUAAGUGUUAUCUAUGUAGAAGGAUGGUUACAAGGAAAGGCUCUGCUAAGUGUUAUCUCUGUAGAAGGAUGGUUACUAGGAAAGGCUCCACUAAGUGUUAUCUCUGUAGCAGGAUGGUUACUAGGAAAGGCUCCGCUAAGUGUUAUCUCUGUAGCAGGAUGGUUACUAGGAAAGGCUCCGCUAAGUGUUAUCUCUGUAGAAGGAUGGUUACUAGGAAAGGCUCCACUAAGUGUUAUCUCUGUAGCAGGAUGGUUACUAGGAAAGGCUCCGCUAAGUGUUAUCUCU
rnacentral:lncRNA from 1 species